UAUGAAACACUUUAUAAAAUUCAAACCACAAUCCGCUCAAGGGAAAAAAAAAUCCACUCAAGAAAAAAAAUAAUGUUCCUUACACAUGGGGGGUGGGGGAUAACAAAUAGAUAAAUGCUUAUUUAGGGGGGGCACAUACGAAUGUGUUUCCAUUUCUUAUCAGGUCAAAUGCCAUGCCACAUUUUUAAGGUAUAAAAUUCGAUAACAUCAAAAUGAAGAUAGAAAUAUAUUGUUACGUCUACUAGUGACCUAGAUAUGCAAUAUGUAAUUCGGGUCUGUUUUUUAGGCUUCCACAAUAGCUGAAAAACAACUUUUUCCAAAAAUAUGGGGACAUGCUUUUAGAAAAAACAGCUUUUCAGCCAAAAUUGUUUCGGGAAGCUGCUUUUAGAUUUACCAAACAAUUUCACUUUUCACCUGCUUUUAAAGCUGUCAGACAGUGAUACCAAACAUAACCUUAGUUACAAUCCACAAAAACUACACCUAAUCAAAAAAAGUUCCAAAUUGACUUCAAAAGCAAGUCAAGCGAAGGGGAUGUAAUAACCAGAGACAAGAAUCCAAUAAAAAUUAUUAAUGCAAACAACAGAUAAUUACGAAGACAACACAUACAAAUCAAAUCAUAACACGCAUACACAUACAAAUCAAAUCAAAACACGCAUAAUUAAUCACCUUAAACGCAACAUGCUUAUCGCUCUUAUUCGACAACUGAAAUGAGCAACAGAUCUGCUUCUUCAGCUCAACUAUUAAUCAAUCAAACAAACAAACACAUAAACAAAACCAAUCAGUAACUAACCAACAAUCAAAAAAAACCUAGGUUAAAUUAAAUUCAACAUUUACUAAAAAAAGAUGAUUAGUUAGUUAAUUACGUGGAAAUUUGAGCUCGAGAGGGUCGAUGGAGAUGAGCCCCUCGGGAUGCGCAGAUUGGAACAGCGUGCUGGUAGUUGAAUCCAUGAGAGAAGUAAAGAGCCGUUAGGUGGGAGAUGAUAUCGGAGAAGUAUAUAGAUACAGGGGUUGUGUAAGUAUUUAAAGCGAAGCGAGAGAAGAAACCGAAGAGAAUAUGGUUUUCAACUUUGUUUCUGGCUGUUCGAUCCGAAACAAUGCAGAUUCGGGUCUACUGCCGGUCAGGAUUUUAAUCGUAGAAUAUUUGAAAAGUUUAUUAAUAAAUUAUUUUGGGAUUUUCUUGCACUAGCAACUAUUUUUUGUUGAGUUGAAAGACUUUUAUUGAUCAAAACCUCGUUAAUAAUCAUGUACCCUGUAACUGUAAAAAAAACAUGUCCAGUAAAAGUCCUGUAACUCAAUAAAAAGUGUAUGCUCAUAGGCACACUAGAAAGACUCAAUUAUUUCAAGUAAUAAUAUGUGAGGAACGAAUACAAAAACUUUUACAUAAUCCAAAACAGAUUAUACCUUCUUAUUGCAUGUUUAUGAUUCAUUUUCUUAAAUCAAAACAAAUUAUGCUUGUCAAUUUUAAUCUUGAACCAUGAUUUAGAAAAAUAUUUAAAUCACAUUAUAAUAAUUUUAAUAUAAAAUACAUUUAUAAAUAUAUUCUAAUAGAAGUUGGCCUCACACAUUCAACUCAAAAUUUCAUUAAAAUUUGAUAGAAAGAAUUUAAUACUUUGGCCUGGUACAUAUGAGAAAAGGAAUGACUUGAUUACAAUAGUUUAUUUGAAGCCAUUAAUGACUGUGAUGGUGUAUUUACAAUAGUUCUAACUUACAAACAAAUCAUAGUUUCAAAUUUUAUUUUAUUGAAAAUUUUGAUUUAUUAUUUAUAAAUUAAAUUUUUUCGCACCUUUUUAAAAUAUAUUUAAAAAUUUUAUAAAUAAUUAAAAAACUCCCGUGCGUUGCACGGGCUAUAAGCUGGUACUUAAUAAUGAUAUUAACAAGAAAAAUGUUGCAAUAUUGUUAGAAUUGUGUAAUAGUUAAAUUUUAUAUUAUAAAAAUUUAAAGAAUAUAUAUAUAUAUAUAUAUAUAUAUAUGCAAUUAAUAUCAUGGACAUAUAAUUUAUUAUUUUAGUUAUAUCAUUUGACAAAUAUGGAUAAUAAAAAUAUAUAUAAAUAAGUCAUUUUGAAUGAAAAUUUUGAACCUUAUUUAUUAAUUUCCUCACGGGCUUUUCAAUUACAUUUUAAUUUUAUUAUUUCAACUUUGAACUUCAUAAAAGAUAAUUAUAAUUAUUUAGUUAUGUAACAAAAAAGUUUCAGAAUAAUAUCAACAAUUUUUUUGGGCAUUCUUUAAAAUGAUAUAUUUUAAAAAUUAUUAUCUAAUCCAAUUUAUAUUAUUUUAUUUGAGUGUAACUUAAAUAUUAAAAAUUGUUCGGAGAAAAUAGUAAAACGAUAAUAUAUUUCAAAUCGUGUUUUCAACCGAAAACAUAACUUGAAAUCGAGCUUAAAAUAUAAUUUUAAGUCAUAUUUAUCUCACAAAAUCAAAAACGUUAUUAAAGUUAUUUUUCAAAAAACAGACUAAGUCUUAUUUAUCUCUAAGAGCAACUCCGAUAGCUUAGCUAUUUGGAGUCUUAAAUUAAAAUACGAGAAAUAUGAGAAAAUAAUUCACUCCAACAGUCAGUAACUUAGUGAUUUCUUAAAUCACUAAGAUCCAUUAGCCAUACUUUAUUUUUAACUAACCUCCCUCCUCUCUUAAAUCUUAUUUUAAAAUAAAUUUUGAAAACAAACAUGUUAUCUCUCUUCACUUAUUGUAAUAAUAGUAAAUUUUAAUAAUAAUAUAGUAUACAAAAAAAGAAUAUAAGUAAUAUUGUUGGAGGCGGGAAUAUCUAUUAUUAUCUUAAGUCUAUAAAAUCCAAUAUUUUAUAUUAUAUUUAAAAAAUGUGUUAAGAUGUGUUGGAGUUGCUCUAAAUAUUGAUUUUUGGAAAUUUUCUCCCAAUGUUUUUAUACAUAUUUCAUUUUACAGCGUCUCUCUUUUAUCACGUCUCAAUUCCUUGAGGAAUUUCUUCUUUUAUUCCAACUACACUGUAAAUUACCGAACACAAGCUAUACAUACAAGCUCGGUGCUAUAAAAAAAUUCGACGAAGAUGAUGGUGGAUCUGAGCUCAUUUUCCGACGAGAAUUUUGAGGCGAAGAAAUGGAUAAACAAUGCCUGUCAAUCACGUCACCCUCAAGAUCCGCUGGAGAAUCAUUUAGUAGAUCUGGAGAUGAAGCUUCAAAUGAUCUCCGAAGAGAUCUCCGCCUCGCUCGAAGAGCAGAGCGCCGCCGCGCUCCUCCGCGUGCCUCGCGCUUCGCGUGACGUCAUUCGCCUUCGCGAUGAUGCGUUGUCGCUUCGUCAAUCGGUGGCUUCGAUCAUCCAGAAACUGAAAAAGGUGUGUUUAUGAGUCAGUGUAUGUAUUCAUGCUUGAAUUGUCAAUUAAUUGAUUCAAUUAGUGAUAAUUGGCACAUAAUGUUGUAGUUUUAGCAAACAGUUUAAGUGCGAGAAGCGCUCACACUUUGAACUCGAGCGUGUGUGUGUAUUCUGUAUUUUUUACUUGUCGCGGUUUUUGAUAUGUGAAUAUGAAGUUAUAUGUUUAGUUUGUCCUUGAAUUAUUAGUUUGGAUCAGGUAGUGACAUUUAUAGAUUGAUCACGCCAAAGCUCACAACACUGUGUUCGUAUCUGUAUCAAUGCUUGUAUUGAAUAUAUGUUUAGCGAGCAUUUUUAGUUUUGUCUGAUCUGAUUCUGCAUUAGUUGCUUUAAUACGUAUCGGAAUUUUUUGAAUCGAGCAAAUUUGGUGAUUAGUGAGAUUGGUAUGUGAUUAUUAAGAUAUAAUGUUGUGUGAACUGUGUUUAUACAUUUGCUCGUUUUUUUUACCUGUGAGUUGAAGUUUUGUGUUAAUUUAAUAUCAAUUAAUUGGUUAAAUUAUGUUUCCUGCUAUUUAGUAUGGUACAAAUUCAGGAAGUGCUAUUGAUGGAUUUAUAUGUGAUAAUUAAGUCAUUUUUUGGUGUAUUAUAUACUUGUAAAUUUUUGCAGGCAGAGGGUUCCUCGGCAGAAUCUAUAGCUACACUUUCAAAAGUCGAUACAGUCAAGCGACGAAUGGAAGCAGCUUUUGAAACUUUGCAGGUUCGGGGUAUUUCUGCUGUUGCAUUUUUUAUACAGCUCAUUGGUGAUCAUCCACUUAAUUAGUUUUGUUAUUAACUUGUAAAUAGGAUGCAGCUGGGUUAACUCAGUUGAGUUCAACUGUGGAGGAUGUGUUUGCCAGUGGUGAUCUUCCACGUGCUGCUGAGACAUUGGCAAAUAUGAGGCAUUGCUUAUCUGCUGUUGGGGAGGUAAUGUCUGGCUUAAACUGAUGGCAUAUUGUUUGUCUUUUGCAAUGCCAAAGAAUGAGAUGGAUUCAUCUGUCUGCCAGGUUGCUGAAUUUGCUAAUAUUAGGAAGCAGCUUGAGGUCUUAGAGGAUAGACUAGACAAUAUGGUCCAGCCUCUGUUGGAUGACGCAAUAAACAAUAGAAAGGUAACAUUCUUCCUGUUCUGAAGGUAGCAAGAAUAUUAGCUCCUCAAAACCUUUUAGAUCAUUCAUAUCUGUACUACUGUUGAUUAAUUUUUUUAAGUUUAAUCAUUCUUCCCUUUGUUAAUGCGUAGACGGAAGUUGCUCAAAAUUAUCGUGGAAUCCUCAUUCGUAUAGGAAGAUUUAAGUCUCUAGAGACAUACUAUGCCAAAGUUCACCUCAAGCCAUUGAAGCAGCUGUGGGAAGAUUUUGACUCUCGGCAACAAACUAAUGCAAUACCGAGCGAGAAAAAUGAAUCUAUUUCACUUUUAAGUUGGUUGCCGAGUUUCUAUGAUGAAUUGCUUCUAUAUAUAGAGCAAGAGUGGAAGUGGUACGGUUCGUAUUUCCACAUUCAUCCAUCUACUAAAGUAAAAAAAAUCAGGAAAGGUUUUUAAGGUUUUGUUUUGGACGAAUACAAUUCUCCACCUGUACACAGAUAUUUGAAGUCAAGUUUUUUUUUGGACGAAUACAAUUCUCCACCUGUACACAGAUAUCUGAAGUCAAGUACACAUAUAAAUAUACCUGUAUAAAAUAUUUAGGCUACUUUAACAGUUCUUAUAUAGUUCUCCAAAAAUUAUAUAUAUAAAAUGUCUUGCUCAUAAUGUAUCCUGUUGGCCUUUGUUAUUUUGAUAGAUUAUUGGUUCACAUCCCUUUACAAACAUGACAUCCACAUUAUACUUUCCAAGGAGCACACAUAAUAUGAGUAUUUUCAUUCCUCCAUCACUAUAUUGAAACUGCUCUAGUUAUGUAAGUCUAGUUUAUCUAAGAAAGAUUAAUGAUGGAAAAUAUCAGUUCAUGGUUAUGAUAACUGUGACAUAAAAAUGAGGGAAAGGAUUGUUACCUUCUCUAAUCAAUCUUUAUAUGAAUUUCCCAGUACACACAUUAAGUGCAUAGUAACUAUAUGUAUUAGCCUAUUAGAUUUUAAUAUCUUUGACUUUCUACAAUUUCAUCGUUAGGUCGAUACUUGCUUUUCCGGAAGAUUACAAGACUCUUGUGCCAAAGCUUUUGCACGAGCUAAUGGCAACUGUUAGUGGAACUUUUGUCUCACGCCUCAAUUUAGCAACUUCUGAAGUUGUCCCAGAAACAAAAGCUUUGGCUAAAGGUAAAACUUCCAGUCAUUGUUUGGGUUACUUUGUUUCUGCUAUUUCAUAUGUAUCAUUUCUUUUACUUAUCCCUAUAAUGUUGUUAUUAAUAUGGAAUUCUAUAUUUUGAAUUAUGAGUUCAUUAUAUGAUCUCUGCGGUCACUGGUGUAUCAAGUAUGGAAUUCUAUAUUUCGUAGGAUGAGUUUUUAAUAUGAUCUCCAUGGUCACUGAUUUAUUCAAGGAAGGAGGGCUGUGUUCAAACACCAAUGCUUUGAGAAUUUCUGUGGGAUGGAUAGGAGAUACGGCGAAGCCUCAAUUUCCUGUUGACCUAUAUUUCAUUGGAUUUUUCUUAAAAUAAAUAAGUUCGUAAACUUCCGUGGGAUGGGUAGGACAAGUAGUUAUUGAAAAUGGAAUUUUUGAGAAAUUAUAAACACAAGGGACUACUUCUCAUCUGAUGAAUGUGUGCAUUUUAUUAUUGAAUAUAUAUAUAGGGUCCAACUCCAAUACAAACCACCGAAAUAAAAAUUAAAUACCACCAAGACAAUUAAGGAGAAUAGGAAGGGUUGUGGGGCCAGGGAUGGAUCUUGAGGUGAGCCUGGGUGGGACCUAAUAGGGUCGAGGACCAAGUUCGGGCUCUUGGGCUGUUCGAGGCCUGUACGAAGCCUUGGCGAGGCUCUAGUGGUCCCGGGGUGGAUUUAGUGGGGGUGGGGCUUAGGUGGGUAAUGUCAUAUAGAGGGUGGGUGAUGUCAUAUAGGGCCGGUUUCUCUUGGUUUGUAAUUGAGCUUUGAUUUAGUGGUUUGUAUUUGAGCAAUUAUCUAUAUGUAUAUAUAUUAAGAGAGAAGGAGGAGCGAGAAGAGAUGGAGGUUGGAAAAGAAUGGCUGGCUUAUCGAAACCUAAGCAUUGUGAGGCACAUGAUUUGCAUUGAAAAAACACAGAAAAUGGAUAGUGAAUGUUAGUUUGGUAAAGUCAUGAUAUUGUUUAAGUUUAAAUUUAAUUUCUGGCCAACUUCUUUAACGACUUCUUAGUUAAAAAGUAUUAGAGUUGAAUUUCAAAGUGAUUGCUAGACAUCAUUUUUCUGGCUUAAAUGUCAAAUUCUUAUUCAUCCCUUGCAUCCUUUUUCUUCUCACUCUUAUUUCAGGCAUAUUGGAUAUCUUAUCUGGAGACGUGCCAAAGAGUGUCAAAGUUCAAACGAAGCACCUUGAGGCACUAAUAGAAUUACACAACAUGACGGGAAGCUUUGCUAGAAAUAUUCAACACUUGUUCUCAGAAACCAACCUGAAGGUUUUAUUGGAGACACUGAAAGCAGUUUAUAAUCCGUAUGAACCCUUCAAACAAAGGUAGUUACAGCAAACAACUUCUAAUACUGUGAUUUUUUAUAUGAUAUAUAUUGUUGAACUUGUGUAUUUCUGUAGUUUUCGUCAAUUGUGUUUGCUUGAGAUUUUUGUCAUUUCCUUCAUAUAAGCCUUUUGUGUUCUCUCUUAGUUUUUAAUUUCCUAAGAGUUAAAGAAUAGAUUGAUUUUACCAAUUCUUUCAUAUACUUGUAACAUCCCGUAAUUUUUAGACAAUAUUUAUUUAUUAAUAAUUAUAAAAAAAGGAUUAAAAUUGGAAAUGAAUAGGAUUAAUAAAAUACAUAAUUCAAUUAGAAUAAUGGACCUAAGAUACAUUGGUAGGUUUGGAAUUAGGGUCUUAAAAAUCUAUAUAUUGAUUGUGUUCCUCUCAUUCUUUAUGUUCUUUUAUGAGCCAUCAAGCUUUCUCGAGAUUUUAAUUCUUGUUCACCCAUCAUCCUUGUUAUUGAAAUUCGUAGGGUUUAUCAAACACAUAUCAGCAAUCAUGUAAGAUUUGAUCUAAGAGCGAGUUGAUGUGCAUUACUGUUUGGGGAUAUUAGAUCCGGAGAAGUUUGACACGUAAAUUAUAGAUGUUAGCUGCACUUUUGUAUUUUAGGUUAAUGAUUUGUAAUUGAUAUAAUUUUAACAAAAUUUUGGAUUAAUAAAUUGUAUUGUAUAUUAGUUUAGCUCGAUUUAAUAGUCCGGAAAAGUGCGGGCUGUUACAUUAUUUCUCUGAAAAGCCAUUAUGUGAUACAGAAGUUCACAUGGAAGCAAGAUAGUGGUGACUUUUCUUAAAUUUUAUAGUUUUGGUGACGUGAGUUGGAUUCUUUUGUAGAGGUGGAAGUAGUAGGUUGGACUUAUCUUCACAUUAGGCUGUACUAUACUCAAAUAAAAGAACAUAUAAUAUUGUGUCUGAUACAAUAAUUAGAAGCGUGACAUUUUACCCACAAUGUUGGCCGCCACAUCCCACAUUGAUUAGGAUGAAUGCAUUUGAGGCCUUUAUAAGUACAUUGGUACAAGUCAACAAUGAAUGGCAUAUACAGGUUGCAUUUUAGAGGAUCUUUAAUAUAUUCUUUUAUCAGCAAUUCUGCCUUGUUCUUUUACCAGAUUUUUAUGAAACUUGUGGUCUGAUUUCUAGGUAUGGACAGAUGGAGCGCAUUACUUUAUCUGCUGAGAUUGGAGGAAUUGAUCUCAGAGGAGCUGUAAAAACUACCCGCAUUGGAUCCCAAGGAGUUGAACUUAGUGAAACAGUUCGAAGAAUGGAAGAGUCUAUCCCACAUGUCAUUGUACUUCUUGAAGCUGCUGUAGAGAGAUGCAUCAACUUUACUGGUGGUUCUGAGGCAGAUGAGUUGAUUCUGGCUCUCGAUGACAUAAUGUUACAAUACAUUUCCACUUUACAAGACAUUCUGAAAUCCUUAAGAGCUGUAUGUGGUCUAGAUGUUAUUUCUGAUGGUAAUGAGAAAAAGGAUGGAGUUUCAGUAGCGCGUAAAGUUGAGUCUUCAACUGAAGAGGAAUGGUCUUAUGUCCAAGGUGCAUUGCAAAUUCUUGCAGUGUCAGAUAGUUUAACAAGCAGAUCUGCAGUUUUUGAAGCUUCCCUGAGAGCUACUCUUGCUAGACUGAGCACCAACCUGUCUGUGUCAGUAUAUGGUUCAAGUCCAGAUCACAAGCAGUCACAUGUGGUGGACGUUGAUGGAAGUGGAGAUUUAUCAGUGGCUGGAAGGGCAGCCUUGGAUGUGGCAGCUUUGAGGCUUAUUGAUGUCCCUGAUAAGGCUCGGAAACUCUUUAACCUAUUAGAACAGGUACAUGAAGAAACAGUUUGUGUAGUAUAUUCGGGAUCUGCUGGUAGCUGGUAACCUUAUAUUAUAUAUAUAUAUAUAUAUAUAUAUAUAUAUAUAUAUAUAUAUAUUUGACCUGAAUAUAGUGGAAGUACAAGUUUGUAAGGGUAAUUAUUAAUUAUAAUAUAAGAUGCGCAACAAGUAGUUCUGCAGUACCAUUAAUGUGGAUUCAGAGAAAAAGAAACAUAGGAUACUGUACUGAUAUACUUUCUAGUCCAUCUUACCAGGAAAGGUUUUUUUUUUUUUUGGCCGAUUCUGGGCCAAAGUAUGGGUUUAUCGCAAAAAGGUUUGGGGUUGCUCUCAUUCAAUCUAAAUGUUAUUAUGUUUUUCUUGCAGUCCAAAGAUCCUCGGUUCCAUGCUCUUCCAAUUACAGCUCAGAGAGUUGCAGCAUUUGCAGAUACAGUCAAUGAGCUCGUUUACGAUGUCCUGAUAUCUAAAGUUCGACAACGUUUUAAUGAUGUGUCUCGUCUUCCAGUUUGGUCUUCUGUUGAGGAACAAAGUUCUCAUCACCUACCAAGCUUUAGUGCAUAUCCACAGAAUUAUGUGACUAGUGUUGGUGAAUAUCUUUUAACUCUUCCCCAGCAAUUAGAACCACUCGUCGAUGGAAUAUCAGGCAGUGAUGCUAAUGCCGAUGAAGCGCAGUUCUUUGCAACUGAAUGGAUGUUCAAGGUAUCUACCUUCUGAAGAGAUGCAACUUACCCCCCCUCACACACACACAAUUAUACAUUCAAAUCAGCACUUAUGGUACGAGCUCAGUACAGAUAACAAACAGUAUGAUGUAAAUAGUGUAAUAAUUGUUUUCAUCUUAGAGAGAGUCCUAGCCUCCUAGGUAAAAAUACUUUUGUUGGGCGUGAUGCCUUGGGCACAAAGUGAGGGUUGUUUGCGUAGAAUUAUUAGGUUUCUGUUGGCUUUUGGUUAACUAAAAAGUAGAAUUUGUUUGUUACUGAAUUAACUCUUUACUUGUUUCUUUGUUGUAAAGGUUGCAGAGGGUGCUACUGCUCUUUAUAUGGAGCAGUUGAGGGGUAUACACUAUAUAACAGAGCGUGGAGCGCAGCAACUGUCCGUAGAUAUCGAGUAUUUGAGCAAUGUGUUGUCUGCUCUCUCAAUGCCAAUUCCUCCCAUCCUUGCUACAUACUACACAUGCCUGUCUACCCCAAGAGAUCAGCUCAAGGAACUGUUGAAAUCGGAUUCUGAAAGCCAGCUUGAUCCCCCGACAGCAAACCUUGUUUGCAAAAUGCGGCGUGUUAAUUUGGAAUAACAUCAAUUUUUAAUUUUCUAUUGAUUGUUACUUAAGGUUCACUGAAGGUUGGCUGGUACCAGUUCUACACUCCUAUUUGCUCACGGAUUGGUUGCUUAUAGCCUUGUGAGCCACCAACAUAUUUUGCUGGAAAAUAUGAGAGCUAUUUUUGGAUAGUGUGUCCUGGAAAUGCUCGGGAGAAAUGUUCUAGAACUCUUUCNNNNNNNNNNNNNNNNNNNNNNNNNNNNNNNNNNNNNNNNNNNNNNNNNNNNNNNNNNNNNNNNNNNNNNNNNNNNNNNNNNNNNNNNNNNNNNNNNNNNNNNNNNNUCCCCGUUGAAGUGCUUUGUAGAUCAUGUAAAAGAAUGUAGACGAUUGAGAAACAACAAUCCUCUCAACGUAAAGGGAUAAUUAGUCGUCAUAUAUAUAAUCCACACUUUUAUGGUCAAUUUAUAUUUUUGUUUCAUCUUGGAGUAGGCGUUUUACCAAUGAUUCUUUCAAUAGAAGUUUCCGGUUAUACUUUACUUUGAUCAUCAUGUUCACAAUUUUCUUUUUCACAGAUUGUCAUGUGGAUCUAAUCUCUACUUUGUCACUGGCAUCUGAAAAGCGAAAUCUGAGAAAAAUACAAUGGAUAAGAAAGCCUCUUUGAUGAUAGUAUGUUAUUUAAAUAAUAGUAAUAAUAAUAAUAAUAAAUAGUAAAUAUAUUUCAAAAUUAUGCUAUAUUACAAAUAACAAAAAGAUAUUGCAAUCAUUCAAUUUUUUAAAAAUGUACCUUGUAGUAAGAAUUAAGGGAUAUUUUGGUUCGCGGGGGGUCGUAACGAAAAUUUGGACUAAAUUAGGCAUUAUUUUUGUUAUUAUGAGUUUGAUUAGUCAAAAUAAAUAAUCAAUAAAAAUCUAGGUAAGAAAUACAUUUCCAACAAUUUAUUCACCAAAAAUAUUUAAAUUAUGGAGUUAUGGAUAUUUUUGAAACACUAAAAUAAGUCAACAGACGACUAAUUCAGCAGUGGUUGAUCUCCAUUUGGCUUACGAACUACUGUAAAAUUCCCCAAAAUCUAGCUUCUUACACUGGUUUCGCAGAUUUAGGAGUAGAAAUACACUCCAGAGCAGAUCACGAGAUUUACUCAAACCUUGUAAUGGUACGUACCCCUCCAUCUCAAUUUUCUUCUCCAAAUCAUUCCGAUCUCUCUCUCUCUCUCUCCCCCUCCCCCUCUCCCUCCCUCUCUCUCUCUCUCUCAUACUCUCUCUCUCUAAUUGUGUUAAUUGAUUCGAUUUGUGGUGGUGAGAUCAGAUGUCGGACAAUGGAAAUCCGUCGCGGUACGUGAAGUUGACGAAAGAGCAAUCUGCUCCCACUGAAGACAUUCGUCCCGGUGAGCUUAAUCAGCCUAUCGAUGUUCCUCAGGUCUCUCUCCAUACAUUUUAUUUUAUAUGUGUGUGCAUUUUCGCUUUAACUCUUCUGUACAACAUCAGAUGAUAAUUUUUGUUUGUUAUCGGUUAGGUUGUAGACUUGUAAAUAAUAAUACUUGUAUCGUGUUGUGGUAAUUGUGGAUUUGCGGAAUUUGGUUUAUGGUUGGUACUGUAAGCUUAGGUGGUACAUUACUGUUAAAAUUGUGUGUUAUUUGAGGAUAUAACUGUGAGUUAAGGACUUACUUUAUGAUUUACAUGUGAAAAUUUGUCAAAUUAUGCUAAAAGAGUUGCUAGGGUUUCUCAGGAUUUCAAUGUAGUACGUGAUUGCUGUUUUGCUACCUACUAGUGGAAUCCGUGGUGAUAUAUGGUGGUUGGUAAUGACAUGAUUAUGGGUAUAGCCAUAUAGGCACCUGUGAUAGCAUGUACUGUUGGAUGUUCACAAAUCACACUGUUUAUGAUGGUUGCUGCUUACUAGUACUGUUGUUUUUAUACAUUCAUAGAGGAUAAAUUUAAUCGGUGUAUUAACAAAGAUCAGGAGGAGAUGAUUUUGAAGUUGGAGUAAUUAUCUUUUAUUUGAAGGCUUGCUGUUCCUUAUUCUUCUUUCCUUUUAAAAAAAAUAAUUAUUAAUAAUUGAACUGAAGCAUGUCUUAUUUCCUUAAUAAUUUGAGUAAGUUAACCGAUGCAUAUCACAAAAAGCUGUGCAACAGCAAAUUGUUACAUUUUUAGCAUAAGCUUGUUUCUGAACAUUAAGUAGUAGUCAACAAAAUCUUACCACGUGGAACUCUGCCCCUUUACAAAGGAUCCAGUGUUUUGGUGGAGUUGCUUAGUUCGUAAUUUGGUCGUGUGAUUAGCUGGAUGGCUAUAUGGAAUCUAUUGCCAACUUCUAGUUUGAAAAAAUUGCCAAAAUUUGACCAAUUGUAGCGUCUAAUUCUUAAUACUUCCAACUACAUGGAGUUUAUGUAGUUUAAUUAAAAUUUUAGCGUGUGAAUCAGUAUUCGUACUUGCCUCCUGAUUUGUUUCCUGUAUUCGUAAUAUUGUUGUUACAACACCAAGGUGCAUACAGUUAUAUAUGUUUAAUUUGGCUUCCCUGCUGUAUAUAAAAUUAAUAUUGCAGAAUGUUCUGUGUCUGAUUUGCUGUUGCACUUUAUGCACAUAAACAUGCUUUUGAUCUUUUCUGUUUUGUAAGAUCUUCUUGAGUAGAUAUGUCUGCUGUUUUCUUGUACCCUUUUAAUCACGCAAACACCCCAAGGCAGUUCUGGGAAUCACUAUGAAAAUUAAUCCUUAUCUGUUAUCUCCUUUCGUCUCCUUUUUUUGUUGUCAGCUGAAUGUUCGAAAGUGCAAUGAAUGUGGUCAACCUUUACCAGAAAGUUUUGAGUUCCCUGCUGUGGAACCUUGGUCAACCGGUAUAUUUGGUUGCACUGAAGAUACAGAUAGCUGUAAGUUUCAUGUCUACAUAUGAAUAGCAAGCUAUAACUUAAAUGAUAAAAUCGUUGUUUUUGUGUAAUUUGCAUCUCUCUUUUAUGUGGUAAUAUACUGUGGAAAGGAAGAGUACUUGGGAGAUGAUAUGGGGACUGUGGCACUAAGUGAGUACUAUAAUGUUAAUAUUGCCCCUUUAUGCAUCACAACUGACCUUAUCAUUUAAAAGAAAACUGUGAUUUUGCUUGGGGCUUUGAGUAUGGUAUGAACAUAUUGGAAGACCCUCUAUCAAUGUAUAUCUUAAUUAGUCUUAAACUAAAAUAUACACUGGGUCUUGUAUAAAUCACUCUUCUUAUCAAAGUCCACUAUGUCUCUUGAGGCAAUUUUUGUUGCGAGCAUAAUCACAUUAAUUUUCAGAACGAAACAUUUAUUUAAUAGUCCUCACAUCACCCAUCAACAGGCUGGACAGGACUCUUUUGCCCUUGUGUCUUGUUUGGGCGUAAUCUUGAAACCUUGAAGGAAGAUGUGCCUUGGAAUGGCCCUUGCCUAUGUCAUGCUAUUUUUAUUGAGGGUGGGAUUGCACUUGCAGCAGCAACAGCAAUAUUCCAUGGUAUUGAUCCGAGGACAUCAUUUCUUAUUUGUGAGGGUUUGAUGUUUAGCUGGUGGAUGUGUGGCAUAUACACUGGCCUUGUAAGGCAACAACUUCAGAAAAAAUAUCAUCUCAAGGUAAUUUUUCGUGUAAAGUUAAAAAAGAAAGGUUUUUUAAGGAACUGAUGCUUUUGAGUUCUGAGUUACUUUGCUUGCCUGACUAAAGUAAACAAAUCUUUUCUAAAUAGUGUUGUUGCAGUUGGUGAAGGUACAUGUAAAUAGAUAUUACAACUAGUAUUCUAGUAAUAAUUCACCAGACGAAAAAAAACUAGUAAUACUUCUUGCUAUUUUUGUUUCUUGUUACAGUACAUGUUUAAUGUUUUUAAUGUGUAAUGAAGUUCAAGUUUUAAGCUGCAAAGGGCUUGUCCUGAUUGGAGUUGAAUCAUUGAUAAAAAUCAAUUUCAUGCGAGAGAAGCUGAAUAUGUUUUUGAAACUUUUCAUCGUUUAUUUUGCAACCAGUUUUCAUAUAAGCUCUGUGUUCUCUGCUAAUCACUUCAGUACUGGUUAAUUAACUGCUUUGUUCUGUUUUACCUUUGCAGAACUCCCCAUGUGAUCCCUGCAUGGUGCAUUGCUGUCUGCACUGGUGCGCGUUGUGCCAAGAACAUAGGGAGAUGAAGGGACGUUUAUCAGACAAUGCUGUGAUGCCAAUGACCAUGGUGAACCCCCCUCCCGUUCAAGAGAUGAACUCAGCCACUGAGAACAGAGAAGCAGCACCUUCUGCGACAAAUGGUGGUGAGCAUACCAACUUAGAGAUGGAACCACUAUAGAAUUCUAUCUGCUCCCUAUCGUUCAGUGCAUAUGCAUGUUCGAAUACCCCUGGAUUUAGAGAAAACUAUUAUUUACUAGAGAUUGUUUACCGCUAGAAUUGUCUUUUGCAUUGCAAAAAGGUUAUUUAGAAAGGAUAUUUUUUUGAAACUGUGAUGUGUUUGCACUAUUGCUUUUUUCUGAAUAUGAAUAUAAACUAAAAUUUUGCUGGUUUAUCCCAAUUUCAAAUGUUACAAUAAAAUCUGCUUCCUUCUUAUUCCCAAAUAAACAUUGUCAAGAUUGUUAAAUAAAUAGAACUAGUACAACUUACAAGCAAGGUACUAACUUUAAAAGUUUGAAAACUAGGAUUACAGCUACAGACGACCAUUAUGCAACUACAAUAUAACUCAGGUCAUUCAUAAUACUAGGCAAAUUAAAUGAUUAAUCAACACAUUUAGACUCCAACACCAUCACCAAUGCCUUCACUCCCUUGAGGAAACACUACAUUGUCGUACAACAGCGCUGCGAUGGUUGCACCAAGCAAGGGACCAACCCAGUAAACUGCUUGAUUCUUGAAACUACCUGCAACCAGUGCUGCCCCAAACGAGUAAGCCGGGUUCAUAGAUCCACCAGUAAAAGGACCAGACGCCAACACAUUUGCCCCUGCAAUAAACCCGAUUGCCAUCGGGCCAAUGGCUGUCAUAGAACCACGCCUUGGAUCUGCGGCUGCAUAGAACGUGUAAACCAGGGCAAAUGUCAUCACGCCUUCCAGGAUCGCUGCUCCGAAUCCAGUCAUCUCAACAGGUAUUAUACCUUGCAUAGGAACAUGCUGCCAUGACCAACACAACCAUAAGGCCAUCAUCAUCAUUACAUCAAAUUACUUUCUUACAAAGGGCUGUGUAAGUGAUUUUCAAACCUGUCCUACUGUUGUAACUUUCAGAACCAGGCAAGCCAUGACAGAGCCAAGCAUCUGCGAAAUCCAGUAAAACAUCGCCAUUGGAAUACUAAUAUGCCCUCCAAUCGCCCUCCCAAAGGUCACAGCCGGAUUCACAUGGCCGCCAGAGACGCCGACUGAAACAUAAACCGCGACAACCAAGGAGAAAGCGGUUGCUACUGCACUGCCAACUAAACCAGACGGUUGUGAUGCAGCAUUUCCCAGCAACUUCUCUGCAAUUAAAACAAUAAUCACAAAAAAUUAAUCAUCAUCAUCAGUGUAAGAAAUGACAUGCAUGGCAUGGGGACUCACUCGAAGACAUUGCAGAUCCAACAGCGGCGAAAACGAAAAUGAAAGUAGAGAUGAACUCCGCAAGAUAUGAUCUAAGAGCAUUGCGAGUGACAGAAUGCUCCAAACGGCUUUUCAGAGAUGCCAUUGUAUUACACAAAUAACAACAAUGUUACUUGUUCAAAUUCUCUAGGGAAAAUAGGAUGAUUUGUUUGUUAAAUGAAUCCGGCAGAAGAUGAAAAUAAAAUCUCUAGCAAAUUUGGAAGUUACAUGGAUAUUUAUAUAUGGAAGUUGAGGUUGUUUCGGUUUAAAAUUUUCGAAAAGUAACUGCUAUGUUUCAAGGGCGCCAUUUCUACAUGGGUGUGGGCUUGCAGUUGUGACAGUUAUCCUAUGCUUCCCAAAGUUUGCGUAUAACUUUCUGGACUCUGGUGAACUGAAGGCCCAAGUACAGCCCAAUAACCAAUCAACAAUAGAUAUUUGGUCCAGCAAAAUGCUGUCCAAAAUCCAAAUAUACGGUAAUUUUUUGAUUAUUCGUUUAUAAAAUCGAAAUCCAUUAACACACCAAUAAUGCUAUCAAAACUUGAUGGAAUCAAUUAAACAUAUAUUUGGUCAUUAAUUUGAUUAAUAAAGUUAUAAACUACUGCUAUAUAAAUAAAAUUCACAGAAUUAUUUUAUUUGUUAGAACUAAUUAUUUAUUUUAAUUUGUAACUAUCAUAUAAAAAGUAGAAAGGUAAACAAGUUUUCUUAUAUAAUAAUAAAUAAAUUAUAUUAAUAAUUGAAGAAUCUUAAUUUUUAUAUAUAUAUAUAUAUAUUAAAUAAAUUGUUUUUAUACUAAUAAAAUAAUUAAUGGAGUCAAGAGGCGUGUGAGUGAUUCCAUUCGAUCAAUAAAAUUAAAAUAACAAAAAUUAUUACACACACUUCCCAGCUGCUUAUCACUGUCACUCUCGCAGGGAGAGAUCUACCACCGUCAGCGUUUCGCAUCUCCUACAGCCAAUCUUCUCUCUGUCUCCACAUAUACAUACAUGUAUGUAUCUCUACGUCUAUUCAAUUACUCAAUUUUUCUAUAUUUUUCUUAUAUUGCUUAAUUUGAUUAGCUCAUUAUAACAGAUCUUAUGUUUUUUUAUAUAUAUUUAUAUUCUGCAUCUAUAUAUUCAGAUUUUGACUUGUUAUACAGCUCAACAAUUGUGUUGCUGGUUUGUGAUAUUGUGGAUCAAUUGUGAUCAUUUCAAUUUUAGGUUUGUUUUUGGUGUAGCUGCCGUGUUUCGGGCUAUUAGGACUUGCUAAAUUGUUGUGUUUGAUUAACUUGGUGAAAAAAAUUUAAAAUGCUAUAUCGUCGAGACGAAUAUUUAUAAGAGGAGUAAUGAGAGAUCAUGGCAGACUGUAUUGUAUAUUAUGGCGAUUUUCCAUAGGUUUAGCAGGACUAGUUGAAGCUUUGAAAGGUCUUCGAUAAUAGGCCUCACUAUUUUAAAAGUCUUUUCUAAUUAAAACACAUUUAACAUUUUAAUUAUUCUGAUUAUUAUAAAAACCUGUUCUAAUUGAAAAAACAUGCUCCUAUUUUAAUAUAAAACAUUGAAGUACAAAUAAUAAUAUGAUAGUAUACUUUAAAAGUAAAAACCUAGACUAGUUGUAACACCCAGUCCCGCAUCGAGGAGUGUGGAGACUUUAGUUUAGUUCUUAAGCAUAAUAACUACUACCAAUUGCACCAACAAAUCAUGAUCUAUUGGAGCGCUAUGUGGGCCAGUGUAUUUCGGCACCCUAGUUGUCACAAGAAAAGUGCUAGCUCUUGAUGUAAGUUCUCUAGUUUGGAAUUGAUACAAUCACGCUGAGUAUAAGGCUCCUUGUUCGGGAUCUUGUGUACUGCUAUUAAUUUAUGCUCUGGCAGGGAAGAUUUCAGGCCAUCGUGGUGGCUUCUAGUACAAGACCACUUUCAUUUUUUCAAAAAAAUUGUUUUGUUAUUUUGUGUCAAUAUUGUCCUUGUACAUAGAGUUGGCGUUAAAUAAUUUAUUUUUCAGAUUUAGAUGUCCGGCGAUGUGGAAAACCCUAAAGGUGAAGCCCAGAAAGUUUCAGUUUCUUCUUCCCUUGUCAUUGAGCCCCAAACAACAUGGUAUAGUAGCUUUCUCCAGCAUGUAUCAGUUUAUGGUAUAGCUGCUGGAUAUUGCCUGUCAGCAUCAUUGCUCUCCAUCAUCAACAAAUGGGCUGUUAUGAAAUUUCCUUACCCUGGAGCAUUGACUGCCUUGCAGUACUUCACAAGUGCAGCUGGCGUCUUUGUUUUAGGUUCCCUUAAGAUAUUGGAGCAUGAUAAGCUUGAUCUACUGACAAUGUGGCGAUUCCUACCAGCAGCAUUUAUUUUCUAUCUCUCUCUCUUUACAAACAGUGAGCUUCUUCUCCAUGCCAAUGUCGAUACCUUCAUUGUCUUCCGUUCAGCAGUUCCAAUUUUUGUAGCGAUAGGAGAGACCCUUUACUUGCACCAGCCGUGGCCUUCAAUGAAGACAUGGUUCUCAUUAGCCACGAUCUUUGGUGGUAGUGUUCUAUAUGUCCUAACCGAUUACCAAUUUACUCUCAUGGCUUAUAGUUGGGCACUGGCUUACCUGAUAAGCAUGUCCAUAGAUUUUGUUUACAUUAAGCAUGUGGUUAUGACUAUUGGUUUAAACACAUGGGGCCUUGUGUUGUACAACAAUCUUGAGGCUCUGCUAUUGUUUCCACUCGAGCUACUUGUAAUGGGGGAGUUAAAGAAGAUAAAACAUGAAAUAACUGAUGAGUCAGAUUGGUAUUCCUUUCAAGUGGUUUUGCCUGUAGGACUGUCAUGUUUGUUUGGUUUAGCUAUCUCCUUCUUUGGUUUUUCUUGUCGGAAGGCAAUUUCUGCAACUGGAUUUACCGUUCUUGGGAUAGUGAACAAACUUUUGACAGUAGUUAUAAAUCUUGUUAUCUGGGAUAAACAUUCGACAUUUGUGGGGACAAUAGGGCUUUUGAUUUGCAUGUCGGGUGGUGUUAUGUAUCAGCAGUUCAGUAGCACUAAGCCUAAGGCUGCAAAAGAUGUAGAGGUUCAAGAGAGCAAGGAGGAACAACAAAAGCUCCUUGAAAUGCAAAGCAGCUCGGAAAACACAGGCAAUGAGAAGCAAGAUACAGAUUCAAGAGAGGAAAAAUGAUAACAUAAUUUUACAGUUGAAUUGCAUUCUUUUGUUGCUAAUCUAUAGAUCACAAUACCAGUGUUAUGUCUGGAAAGUCUUGUCAUAUACAUCAAACAGAAACAAUGUGAAUGAAGCCUGGAUUGCAUAUGAGAAUGUGUGAGGUUGGUACUCAGGUAAGAGGUGAAAGGAUAGCCUUACUCUUGUUCAGUGACCAGUGGGCACCAGGCUGCUGCUCAUAUCAUAUUUGAUAUACUUCUUCAUCCUUGUGUAGGCAUAGUUUACUGAAAUGUUUUGUUGAUAACUCAGAUUCUAAAUAUGAUUAGUGAUGUAGGAACUGUAUCUGGUUUUUUUCUGUUCUCUGGAUCAUAUCUGUAUGGUUAGCUGGAAUGAUAUGAACCAGGGUAAGUAAAAUACUCCAGUUUCAGUAUACACACUAUCCUUAAAUCUUAAAUUUAUAUUCGAUUGUAAUUCGUAUAUUAACUGUAGUUUUUUCCUUGUUUAUAUAUUGAAAGAAUGCCCAAACAUUGAUUGUAGAAUUUAUUUGUUUUUAUCUAGUUCUUCAGUUAAUAUGGAAGUGAAUUGGAAAGACAAUUGUGGAGAUGUAGUAGUCUCGUAUCCAGAGCUCCCGUCACGGAGAGAAAUGUGUGCAUGUGAAGUGGAACGGAGUAUGCACUCUUCUUGUGAGAAAUAAUAAUACUAACAAUAAUAAUAGUAUAUGAACAUCCAAUGUAUGUGGCAUGUCAAUUGCUUGUCUUUGUGUGCGAUCAGAUAAAAUUUCUCAUUCACGGUUAACUCUAACAAUGGGAGUGCAAGUGCUAUUGUGUUUGAACUAGUUUAAGGUAUAGAGUUGCAAAGAUUCAAUGUAUACAUAAAGGGUACUAGUCUGGAGAGGGUCCUGGUUCUCGGCACUGUGUAUGUUGGGAUCUUUUAUAAAACAUAUAUUGUUGUUUUGUGUUGGUGUUGGAUAAAUAACUCAGUGAUCAGGAAUAACAUUUUUUUAACAUGUUUAAUAUUUUUUAGACGGGUAGAAGUCCACUGUUUUUUAACCACGGGAUAGAUAAAAUAUUCAUUUUGAUCUUGUAGCUAAAAAAAAUUGUUGAACGAACAAAUAAUCAUUUUACCUCGUUCUACACACAGUAGUCUAAGAACACAAAACACAUUAAAAAAAUAUAUAUUAUAAUCUUGAUCAAUAAAUAUAUCCCACGGUCAAAUUACUGUAUAUUGUAUAAAAGAUCCCUAGCAUACACUUGUUGGAAAAGAUGGUCCUAAAAACACAAAAUAUCUAGAAGGUGUAAUUAUGAGAUGACCAACAUUCAGAUAGCUAGUCGGGUCAUGAGAUGACAACUAAAUGGUCACCGACCACGUUAUAAUUCCUAAUUGAAUUUUAAAAAAUAGAAAAGCUAUAUUUAUUACAUGCUUAUGUUUUCUGAUGAGUGUAAUGUUUUAUUUUUUAAUUAAAUGUCAUUGUUUUCAUUAUAUAUAUAUCUAUAUAAUUCUUAAAGCAUGAGUCAUUUUUUAAGGCUGCUUUGGUAAUUUCACUUUCUCUUGGAUCAACCCAUUAAGCUUCGGAUCGACCCGGCAGCUUUCUCAUUCAACUUAACACUAUGAAAGAAUAUUCCGGGUUUUUUUAUUAAAUACAGAUGAUGAUCCGAAGUUUAUCAAAUCAUUAUGUUCUAUUAAAUAUUUGGUUAUUGUAAUGAUAUUAAUGAAAAAUCUAUUCCGUUAUAAAAUCAAUACAGAAUCUAUUCCAUUAUAGAUAUUUAUCACGUAUAUUCUCUUAGUAUCAAUUUCAAUAUAGGCAAUAAUUAUAGCAUUAUAUAAUUUUAGUAAUGUAACUAAAUUAUGAAUACAUAUGUAUUCCCUAAUUGAUGUAUUACUUUAAGGUUAAUUAUUUCUUAACAUAUUUAUCAAUUUUUAUUAAGGACGGGGGGAAACUCUAUCAUCAGCAUAUUCACCUUAAUUUUAUAAUUGAGGAAUGGAUGGAAGCUCUGUAAUCUGCAUAAUCAGGUUAAGUUAAUAAUUAUAUAUAUUUCUAAAUACAAAGAUUUAUAUAGUCCGCGUCGUUAUAAUUUCUGUUGCGUGAUUUUAUUUAUUCAAUCGACAUUUGUAUAUAUUAUUUUUAACAUCUACAACGUACUGUUCGCUAAUAACAAAACUCGAGUAUUUUGACUCUUACGUACGUUGCUUUCAUAACUUAUAUCUCAUAUCAUACUGUUUGUUAAUAAAAAUGUAUAGGUUAACUCGAUAAAAAAACAAAAAACAUANNNNNNNNNNNNNNNNNNNNNNNNNNNNNNNNNNNNNNNNNNNNNNNNNNNNNNNNNNNNNNNNNNNNNNNNNNNNNNNNNNNNNNNNNNNNNNNNNNNNNNNNNNNNNNNNNNNNNNNNNNNNNNNNNNNNNNNNNNNNNNNNNNNNNNNUAAUUCUUAAAGCAUGAGUCAUUUUUUAAGGCUGCUUUGGUAAUUUCACUUUCUCUUGGAUCAACCCAUUAAGCUUCGGAUCGACCCGGCAGCUUUCUCAUUCAACUUAACACUAUGAAAGAAUAUUCCGGGUUUUUAUGCGACCCACCCGAUUUCCACUGGGCAUGCAGCAAGUUCCUGCCAUAUCAGGAGCGUGGCAUUUAUUGCUGUUCCAUUGAUCAAGCCACUCAUUGAGCUUUUUGGAUCUCAUAGCAUCUUCCAACCAUAUGAGAGUUUGAAAAAGUCAUUGAAUUCGGUUCCUCCAAUCAUGACACUCAUUACUACGUCUAAUUGAUUUCAAAUUCAAACAUGAUAAUUAAUCAUAACAAAUCCGUGCUUAUUUAUCUAAAUCAAUCUCUUCCUCCUCCAUUAUGCUCUCUGCUAUUUUUUAUUUAAAAUUCGAAAUUCUUAUUAUCUACUUGCAUCUGUAAUCAUUUGAUCAUUUUUUUCUCUCUCGAUUUGUAGAGUGUAUGGUAGUAACAUUUAUUUUAUAUUGCAGUGAUAACGGUGGUCGUGUUUUUUUAGCAUGAAGACGGAUUCAACGUCGUCAACAGGUUUUGCAAUCCUUUCUAUGAUAAUGUUGCAGUAUCGAAAUCCUCGAUUAUAAUCGUAAAAUUUUGUUUCUGCAGGUGUGAAAGAAAUGUACAUGGAUCGUGGUAAAAGUGUUGAGACAAUUUCCAAGAAUCAAAAAAAAGCACAUACAUCAGGUAAUUGAUUUCCGCACUAGAGUAAAGUUUUCAUACGCAUUCAUUUUCAAGAUACAGUACUCUUGGUCUUGGUUCCUCAAAAGUCUUGGACGCGAUCGUAUUGUCGUUAACGUCUUCAUGUAGAAUCAUUAGUGUGAUAUACAACAAUUUGUAAUAAGUUUGUGUCUGUUAUUAAUUAAUAGGUAUUCUCAUGUGGGGAGCUCAUAUGAUUCACCUAAUAUUGGAUUAAGGUAGUUAUUGGGUGAAAGUUUGGAAAGCUGGAGAGGCCUUUUUUGAAAGUAUACGACCUCCACAUAUGGGAUUGUGGCUUAGCAUUGGUGUAUGUUCUAUUUUUUUGUAUUUUUGUUCCAGUUUUUAAGUUUUUUAUAUUGUAUAGAUGACAUGAUAUUUUGUAAUUAAUUUUUUUGACAUUAUUUUUGCAUAAUUUCCUUUCGUAUUGAUAGUGAUUAUGAUGCAUAUAUGUCCACUAAUGCAUUUAUUGAUCCUUUUUUUAUGAUUGAGUUUUCCUUGCAGCUGCUGAAAAGAGAUGAUUCGUCCAGGCCACUAUCGGAUGCUCACCGUGUGAAGAUUUAUAUUCACUUUUUCUCAACAUCUGAUCAAGGCUUUUUGUUUACUUCUUAUUGCGUGUCAUUGUAUUUUGACAAGAGACACCGAGAAUGAAUACGACCCAAUUUCCGUCCAGAUACAUGAAUCUAGCCUACUAUAACUCAUAUGUGUAUAAGGAAAUGUUGUCAAAAUAUAUUUGAUUUUCGAUGAUUUUGGCAUUAAUUCUUUUUUGUAUAAUAUGUAGUGGUUUCCAUAUUCACUAUAUUCAAUUUUCAAAUCUAGACCUUUUGUUAUAAUUUCAAAUUAAUGGAGUACUUUUUCACUUCACAAUUUUAGCUCUCGAUAAGAAAGUUUUUAUAUAUUAGAUUUUUAAAUAUUCGGAUACAUAGAUCUAGACUGUUAUAGCUCAUAUGCAAAUAGGGAAGUCAAACUUUAUUUGAUUUUCAUUGAUGUUGACAUUAAUUACUAAAAUACCAUUUACAUUUAAUGUUUGUGGUUUCCACGUUCAUUAUAUUUAAAUUUUCAAAUCAAGACUUUUUGUUAUAAUUUCAAAUUAAUAGAGUUUUUUUUCACUCCAUAAUUUUAGAUCUUGAUAAAAAAGUUUUUAUAUAUUUGACCUUUUAAAUUUUUGGAUACAUGAGUCUAUCAUGCUAUAACCCAUAUGUAAAUAAGGAAAAAUAGUCGAAUUUUAUUUUAUUUAACUGAUUUUGGCCGUUAUUAUUACAAUCCUUUUUUGUAUAAUAUAUAUUGGUUUCCAUAUUCAAUACAUUUAAUUUUCAAAUCAAGACUUUUGAUAUUUUUAUAUAUUAAUUAUUAUUUUUGAAUAUUUUCUGAUACAUGGAUAUAGACUGCUAUAAUUCAUAGCAAAAAAGGAAACGUAGUCAAACAUAAUUUGAUUUCCACUUUUUUUAGCAUUUAAUAUUACAAAACUUUUUCGUAUAAUUUGUGCAGUUUUCAUAUUUACUAUAUUCAAUUUUCAGAUGGACUUUUUGUUUUAAUUUCCGAUUAAUGGAGUAUUUUUUUUCACUUCACAAUUUUAACUCUUGAUAAAGAAGUUUCUAUAUAUUAGACUUUUAAAAUUUUCAGAUACAUGAAUCUAGCCUGCUAUAACUUAUAUGUAAAUAAGGAAAAAUAGUCAAAUUUUAUUUGAUUUUCAAUAAUUUUGGCAUUUAUUAUUACAAUCCAUUUUUGUAUAAAAUGUGGUGGUUUACAUAUACACUAUAUUUAAUUUUCAAAUCAAAACUUUUUGUUAUAAAUUCAAAUUAAUGGAGUCUUUUCUCAUUCCAUAAUUUCAGCUCUUGAUAUAUAAGGAAGUAUUCAUACACUCGGUUUUACAAAUUUUCGAUACAUGAAUCUGGACUGUAAUAGGAAGUCAAACUUCAUUUGAUUUCCACAGAUUUUGACAUUUAUUACUACAACAAUACUUUUUCGUUUAAUUUAUACAGUUUUCAUGUUCAUUACAUUCAAUUUCCAGAUCAAGAAUUUUUGUUAUAAUUUCAUUAUUAAUAGAGCAUUUUUUUUUCAUACCUGUGUGUGUAGCACGGGCCAAAAUGCUUAAAUAAUUUUCAUGUGGUAAUAAAUGAGCAUAUUUUUAUUUAAAUAAAUUAACAAUAAAAUUUUUUACAUGCGGUUUAUUAUAAUUUUUUGUUAUUCUAUUCAAGAUACGAGGUGUUGCCAUUAGGCGACAACGAGAAAUUUUAAUUAUAUAGUCAUUACUAUUUUCAUGUCUUUUAUAAAUAUUUUUGAAAAAAAUUUAUUUUUUAAUUAUUUUAACUAUACAAUUAAUGAUUUAAUAAUAGAUCCAUAAACUUAUAAAUUUUUAUUCCAAACAUAAAUUAUUAUUAUUAUAUUAAAAUUUGGUUAUAUUAAUGAUACUAAUGAAAAAUCUGUUCCGUUAUAAAAUCGAUACAGAAUCUAUUCCAUUAUUGAUAUUUAUGACGUAUAUAUUCUUAUUGUCAAUUUCUAAUAUAGACAAUAAUUGUAGCAUAUAAUUUUGGUAAUGUAACUCAAUUAUGACUACAUAUGUAUUUCUUUUUUUUUUUUAAAUCACACAUGUAUUUCUUUAUUGAUUAUUCCUUCAAGGUUAAUUAUUUUUUAACAUGUUUAUUAAUUUUUACUAAGGACGGGAGGAAACUCUAUCAUCAGCAUAUUCACUUUGAUUAAUGAUACUAAUGAAAAAUCUAUUACGUUGUCUUUCAUAACUUAUAUCUCAUAUCAUACUGUUUUUUAAUAAAAAAAUAUAUAGCUUAACUGGAAAAAAAAACAAAAAAAAUCCUAUUUGUGUACGUAGCACGGGCUAAAAUGCUAUGAGCAUUUUUUUAUUUGAAUUAAAAUUUGAUAGAUGAGCAUCGUUUUAUUCAAAUAACUUAACAAUAAAAUUCUUUGCAUACAGUUUAUUAUUAUUUUUUGCUAUUUUAUUUAAGGUAUGAGGCAUCGCCGUUAGGCGACGCCGAGAAACUUUAAUUAUAUAAUCAUUACUAUUUUCAUGGCUUAAAUAAUUUUCAUGUGGUAAUAAAUGAGCAUAUUUUUAUUUAAAUAAAUUAACAAUAAAAUUUUUUACAUGCGGUUUAUGAUAAUUUUUUGUUAUUCUAUUCAAGAUACGAGGUGUUGCUAUUAGGCGACAACGAGAAAUUCUAAUUAUAUAGUCAUUACUAUUUUCAUGUCUUUUAUAAAUAUUUUUGAAAAAAAAUUAUUUUUUAAUUAUUUUAACUAUAAAAUUAAUGAUUUAAUAAUAGAUCCAUAAACUUAUAAAUUUUUAUUCCAAACAUAAAUUAUUAUUAUUAUAUUAAAAUUUGGUUAUAUUAAUGAUACUAAUGAAAAAUCUGUUCCGUUAUAAAAUCGAUACAGAAUCUAUUCCAUUAUUGAUAUUUAUGACGUAUAUAUUCUUAUUGUCAAUUUCUAAUAUAGACAAUAAUUGUAGCAUAUAAUUUUGGUAAUGUAACUCAAUUAUGACUACAUAUGUAUUUCUUUUUUCUUUUUAAAUCACACAUGUAUUUCUUUAUUGAUUAUUCCUUCAAGGUUAAUUAUUUUUUAACAUGUUUAUCAAUUUUUACUAAGGACGGGAGGAAACUCUAUCAUCAGCAUAUUCACUUUAAUUAAUGAUACUAAUGAAAAAUCUAUUACGUUGUCUUUCAUAACUUAUAUCUCAUAUCAUACUGUUUGUUAAUAAAAAAAUGUAUAGCUUAACUGGAAAAAAAAACAAAAAAAUCCUAUCUGUGUACGUAGCACGGGCUAAAAUGCUAUGAGCAUUUUUUUUUUUGAAUUAAAAUUUGAUAGAUGAGCAUCGUUUUAUUCAAAUAACUUAACAAUAAAAUUCUUUGCAUACAGUUUAUUAUUAUUUUUUGCUAUUUUAUUUAAGGUAUGAGGCAUCGCCGUUAGGCGACGCCGAGAAACUUUAAUUAUAUAAUCAUUACUAUUUUCAUGUUUUUUUAUAAAUAUUUUAGAUAAAAAUUACUUAAUAUUUUUUUAUUAUUUUAACUAUACAAAUAAUGAUUUAAUAAUAUAUCCAUAAACUUAUAGAUUUUUAUUCCAAACAUGAAAUACUAUUAUUAUAUCAAAUAUUUGAUUAUAUUAAUGAUAUUAAUGAAAAAUAUAUCCCGUUAUAAAUAUUUAUCAAUUUUUAUUAAGGACGGGAGGAAACUCUAUCAGCAGCAUAUUCACCAUAAUUUUAUAAUUAAGGAAUGGAAGGAAGCUUUAUAACUUGCAUAACUGGGUUAAGUUUAUUGUUAUUUAUGUUUCAAAAUACAAAAAUUUAUAUAGUUCGCGUCGUUAUAAUUUCUGUUGUGUGACUUUAUUUUUUUCAUUCGACAUUCGUAUAUAUUACCUUUAACAUCUACAGCGUAUUGAUCGCCAAUAACAUAACUCGGGUAUUUUGACUGUUACCUACGCUGCCUUUCUGAACUUAUAUCUCAUAUCAUACCGUUUGUCAAUAAAAAAAUGUAUAGUUUAACUACAUAAAAAAAUCAAAAAAUCAUACCCGUGUGCAUAGCACGGGCCAAAAUGCUAUGAGCAUAUUUUUAUUGAAAUAAAAAUUUGAUAAAAGAGCAUAUUUUUAUUUAAAUAACUUGACAAUAAAAAAUUUUACAUACGGUGUACUAUAAUUUUUUGUUAUUUUAUUUAAGAUUCGAGGAGUCGCCGUUAGGCGACGCCGAGAAAUUUUAAUUCUAUAGUCGUUAUUAUUUUGGUGUCUUUUAUAAAUAUUUUAGAAAAUAAUACCUGAUAUUUUUGAUUAUUUAACAAUACAGAUAAUGAUUUGAUAAUAGAUCCAUAAAGUUAUAAAUUUUUAUUCCAAACAUGAAAUAUUAUUAUUAUAUUAAAUAUUUGAUUAUAUUAAUGAUACUAAUUAAAAAUCUAUUCCGUUAUAAAAUCAAUACAGAAUCUAUUCCAUUAUAAAUAUUUAUCACGUAUAUCUUUUUAUUAUCAAUUUUCAAUAUAAGCAAUAAUCGUAGCAUAUAAUUGUAGUAAUCUAACUGAAUGAUGACUACAUAUGUAUUUCUUUAUUGAUGUAUUACCUUAAAGUUAUUUAUUUCUUAACCUAUUUAUCAAUUUUUAUUAAGGAAGGGAGGAAACUCUAUCAUUUGCAUAUUCAUCUUAAUUUUAUAAUUAAGGUAUGGAUGGAAGCUUUAUGAUACGCAUAAUCAGGUUAAGUUUAUAAUCAUUUAUGUUUCUAAACACAAAGAUUUAUAUCGUCCGCGUCAUUAUAAUUUUUGUUGCGUGAUUUUAUUUUUUUUCAAUCGACAUUCGUAUAUAUUAUGCUUAACAUCUACAACGCACUGAUCGUCAAUAACAUAACUCGAGUAUUUUGACUCUUACAUACGUUGUCUUUCAUAACUUAUAUCUUAUAUCAUACUGUUUAUUAAUAAAAAAUGUAUAGUUUAACUAGACUAAAAAACAAAAAAUUAUAUCCGUGUGCGUAGCACGGGCCAAAAUGCUACGAGUAUAUUUUUAUUUAAAUAAAAAUUUCAUAAAUGAGCAUAUUUUCAUUUAAAUAACUUCACAAUAAAAAUUUUACAUAUAGUUUAUUAUAUUUUUUGUUAUUUUAUUUAACAUUCGAGGCGUCGCUUUUAGACGACACCGAGAAAUUUUAAUUAUACAAUCAUUACUAUUUUCAUAUCUUUUAUAAAUAUUUUGGAACAUAUUACCUAAUAUUUUUGAUUAUUUAACUAUACAAAUAAUGAUUCGAUAAUAGAUCCACUCAAUUUUCAAAUCUAGACCUUUUGUUAUAAUUUCAAAUUAAUGGAGUACUUUUUCACUUCACCAUAAUUAAAAAUCUAUUCUGGUAUAAAAUCAAUACAGAAUCUAUUUCAUUAUAGAUGUUUAUCGCGUAUAUCUCUUCUUAUUAUCAAUUUUCAUUACAGGCAAUAAUCGUAGCAUAUAAUUUUAGUAAUGUAACUGAAUUAUGACUACAUAUGUAUUCCUUUAUUGAUGUAUUACCUUAAGGUUAAUUAUUUCUUAACUUAUUUAUCAAUUUUUAUUAAGGAAGGGAGAAUACUCUAUCAUUUGCAUAUUCACCUUAAUUUUAUAAUGAAGUAUGGAUGGAAGAAUUAUAAUACGCAUAAUCAGGUUAAGUGUUUAUAAUUAUUUAUGUUCUAAAUACAAAGAUUUAUAUAGUCCGCGUCCUCAUAAUUUCUGUUGCAUGAGUUUAUUUUUUUUCAAUCGAUAUUUGUAUAUAUUAUCUUUAACAUCUACAACCAACUGAUCGUCAAUAACAUAACUCGAGUAUUUUGACUCUUACAUACGUUGCCUUUCAUAACUUAUAUCCCAUAUUAUACUGUUUGUUAAUAAAAAAUGUAUAGUUCAACUAGAUAAAAAAACAAAAAAUCAUACUCGUGCGCGUAGCAAGGGCCAAAAUGCUACGAGUAUAUUUUUAUUUAAAUAAAUUUUUCAUAAAUGAGCAAAUUUUCAUUUAAAUAACUUAACAAUAAAAUUUUUACAUAUAAUUUAUUAUAUUUUUUGUUAUUUUAUUUAAGAUUCGAGGCAUCGCCAAGAAAUUUUAAUUUUAUAGUCAUUACUAUUUUUAUGUCUUUUAUAAAUAUUUUAGAAACAAUUACCGAAUAUUUUUUUAUUAUUUUAACUAUACAAAUAAUGAUUUGAUCAUAGAUCCAUGAAGAUUUAAAUUUUUAUUCCAAACACGAAAUAUUAUUACAUUAAAUAUUUGGUUAUUAUAUUAAUGAUACUAAUGAAAAAUCUAUUCCGUUAUAAAAUCAAUGCAGAAUCUAUUCCAUUGUAGAUAUUUAUGAUGUAUAUCCUCUUAUUAUCAAUUUUCAAUAGGCAAUAAUUAUAGCAUAUGUAUAGUUUUAGUAAUGUAACUGAAUUAUGACUACAUAUGUAUUCCUUUAUUGAUGUAUUACUUUAAGGCUAAUUAUUUCUCAACAUAUUCACCUUAAUUCUAUAAUUAAGGAAUGGAUGGAAGUUUUAUAAUACGCAUAAUCAGGUUAAGUUUAUAAUUAUUUAUGUUUCUAAAUUCAAAGAUUUAUAUAGUCCGUGUCGUCAUAAUUUCCGUUGUGUGAUUUUUUUUUUAAAUUGACAUUCGUAUAUAUUAUUUUUAACAUUUGCAACGUAUUGAUCGUCAAUAACAUAACUCGAGUAUUUUGAAUGUUACAUACGUUAGUUUUCAUAACUUCUAUCUCAUAUCAUACUGUUUGUUAAUAAAAAAUUUAUGGUUUAACUAGAUAAAAAAAAAAUCAUACCCGUGUGCGUAGCACGGGCGAAAAUGCUACAUGUAUAUUUUUAUUUAAAUAAAUUUUUCAUAAAUUAGAAAAUUUUCAUUUAAAUAACUAAACAAUAAAAUUUUUACAUAUAGUUUAUUAUAGUUUUUGUUGUUUUAUUUAAGAUUCGAGGCGUCGCCAUUAGGCGACGCUGAGAAAUUUUAAUUAUAUAGUCAUUACUAUUUUUCAUAUCUUUUAUAAAUGUUUUAGAAACAAUUAUCGAAUAUUUUUUUAUUAUUUUAACUAUACAAAUAAUGAUUUGAUCAUAGAUUCAUGAACAUAUAAAUUUUUAUUCCAAACAUGAAAUAUUAUUAUUAUAUUAAAUAUUUGGUUAUUGUAAUGAUAUUAAUGAAAAAUCUAUUCCGUUAUAAAAUCAAUACAGAAUCUAUUCCAUUAUAGAUAUUUAUCACGUAUAUUCUCUUAGUAUCAAUUUUCAAUAUAGGCAAUAAUUAUAGCAUUAUAUAAUUUUAGUAAUGUAACUAAAUUAUGAAUACAUAUGUAUUCCCUAAUUGAUGUAUUACUUUAAGGUUAAUUAUUUCUUAACAUAUUUAUCAAUUUUUAUUAAGGACGGGAGGAAACUCUAUCAUCAGCAUAUUCACCUUAAUUUUAUAAUUGAGGAAUGGAUGGAAGCUCUGUAAUCUGCAUAAUCAGGUUAAGUUAAUAAUUAUAUAUAUUUCUAAAUACAAAGAUUUAUAUAGUCCGCGUCGUUAUAAUUUCUGUUGCGUGAUUUUAUUUUUUCAAUCGACAUUUGUAUAUAUUAUUUUUAACAUCUACAACGUACUGUUCGCUAAUAACAAAACUCGAGUAUUUUGACUCUUACGUACGUUGCUUUCAUAACUUAUAUCUCAUAUCAUACUGUUUGUUAAUAAAAAUGUAUAGGUUAACUCGAUAAAAAAAACAAAAAACAUACACGUUUGCGUAGCACGAGACAAAAUGCUAAUAAACAUUUAAAAUUCUAUAAUAUAAAACUCAUAAUAAAUAAUUUGACUGCGCUGAUUACCCGCCAGAUUUGGGGUUAAUCACGACAUAAAGUAUAGAUUAAGUUUUUUUUUUUAAAAGCAAAGUAUAGAUUAAGUCGAUAAAAAUCAAAGAAUCAAUACCCGUGUGCGUAGCACGGGCAAAAAAGCUAGUUUUCAUAUAAUGUUUGAAUACCAUGCAAAACAUUUAUAAUAGCUAAUUAAAAGAGUAGUGCCACUUUCGGAAGACGAUUUCUUCAAUAAUAACAAGUCUAUCAAAUGUGUGUCCAUAAAUUGUUUUCAUGUUCUGCUACUCGCAUAAUGUGGUUGCCGUUACCUUCGAUGUGUUUCACGACGAUCUUCUUCGAAACUUACAUCCCACAGAUGUUCUGCAAAUGAUUAUUUUGCAUUGGUUGUUCUAAAAAAUAAAAAGAUUACUUGUUUACGCUCGAUUUUGAUGGACACAAACCUCAACUCAUUGCGUUAUAUAGAGUGCUUUGACUUAUUGCAUCACUGUUUGCACUUGUUCUGCUUUACUGUUUAUAUCUCGAAAAAUUUUGGACUUAAUUUGGGGGAGAAAGUUUAGGAUAUCAGUCGACUUGUAACGUGAAUUAAAUGUCGUAUAUUACGUGAUUUUUGUUUUACAGGUGUACGGUUGAUACGAGUACAAUACACGGGAAAUUAUCUAGUAAUUAUAAAGUUAUGAAAAAAUGAUCAUAUGUCUUUCAAAUCUCCGUCCAUUAUUGUUUUAAUAUAAGAUCGUAAGAUAUGAUCUUCAACUCCUCUAGAUGACUUAGUCUCCAAAAAGCCCAAUAAACAUCUAAAUAGGGUGAUUUGGUUUAAUAUGUUGAUUAAUAAAGGAAACGGCCGUUUUUGUGUUAAAAAAGUCGAGAAUAAAAUAUCAAUCAACUUUUAAAUUUGGGAGGUCGAAGAGAAACAUUAAACAAUUUCUAGAUUCGCCGAAUUUAUUAAUACGUUUUUAACUAGGAGUUUGAUCAAUUCAAAGAUCAACCAAAUAUAAGAAAAUGUCAACCAAUUAUUAGAUUGAUCAAAUCUACGAGUACUGUAUUGAUUUGGAAUUUUGAUUGAUCAAUAUGAUACGUCCAUAGGAGAAUAUGAUGAAAUAAUAGAACAUAAUCAAUAAACUAAGUGAUUGGAGUAUACGUAAACUCGUUAACAUUUAAUGUAAAAGACGUCACAUGCAUAUUCGUGUGACGUUUUUCUUCAUAUUAAAUACGGUUUAUCUUAUUUCAUAGUAUAAUUUUCCAUUCAAUAUUCAUCAGCUGUUUUUGUUUUAUAUCUGAUUUGAAUACGAAUGAAGAACUCACUUCGAUAUUAAUAAUGUAAUUAUAUAUUAUAAUGAUAAUAUAAUUUUUUCCCGUCAUAAAUCACUCUUUCUAACCUUUUUUUUUUGAAACCACUCUUUCUAAUUUUAAAUAAUUAUCUUUUAAAAUAUGUCAGUAUAUAAAAACACAGUUAGAUUUUAAAUAUUGAAAUUACGGAAACCAUUAAGUUUAAAAUAUGAUAAAAAGUUUAUUUAUAAUUUUAACGAAACAAGAAACCAUGUGUUGAAAAUUAGGGAUGACAAUGAUCCUAAAAAACAAGAGUGGUACACAUAACACAAUCCCGUUUUAAAACUCGAAAAUAAACAGCUAACACCGAACUGUAUCCACCCGGCCGACCCGUAUCAAAUUUCCUAAGAUCCGUUGACUUUCGUAAUUUUGGUCAAUUAACCAAACAGCUACUUCCCGCUCGCCCAUUCGAAUUUGCAAAUACUACCAAAAUUUUCGAACCAUCUCUCUCGCUUUCGCCUUCAUCUCUCUCCGUCUCAAUUCUUUCCCACCUAUACACAUAUACGAACACACAUACACACAUAUAUAUAUACAUACACACAUAUAUACCGCAGCCUUUCAAUACUCUCCCCCCCGCUCUCUCUCUCUCUCUCUCUCUCUCUCUCUCUCUCUCUCUCUCUCCCUCUCUCCCUCUCUCCCCCCCUACACACAAGCAACGCGUAUGUACACAAUCCCCCAAAUCUAGGGUUUCGAAUUUCACAACUAAUUUUGUGUUUUUUCAAAUUCAAUCUGAAGAUGCACAUUAAAGAAGUGACCUUAGAGGGAUUCAAAUCCUACGCGACACGGACAGUUGUUCCGGGUUUCGAUCCGUACUUCAAUGCCAUAACGGGGUUAAACGGUUCGGGCAAAUCGAACAUUCUCGAUUCGAUUUGUUUUGUUCUGGGGAUUACUAAUUUGCAGCAAGUGAGGGCUUCUAAUCUUCAGGAACUUGUUUAUAAGCAAGGUCAAGCUGGGAUUACCAAAGCAACUGUCUCCGUUGUUUUUGAUAAUUCGGAUAGGAGUAGGAGUCCUUUUGGGUUUGAAGAUUUUCCAGAAAUUACCGUAACCCGUCAGGUAUAAGACCUCUCUCUCUCUCUCUCUCUCUCUCUCUCUCUCUCUCUCUGUGUGUGUGUGUGUGUGUGUGUGUGUGUGUGUGUGCGCGUGUGUGUAAAAAGAUGAAAAUUUGAAUUUGUGAACUAGUAGAAUGAAGGCUGUAUCUUAGUUGAAUCGAGUAAUUUAUCGAUGUUGCUAUGUUUAUUUUGGAAGUUAAAUGCUAUUUAAGUCAUGUUAUAUUUAUUUAUAAAGUUGUCUUAUCUUUACUUAUUUUGAUUGUUUUGUGUUUGUGUGUGCAAGUUGCAAACCGGCUAGGUUUAAAGUACCAGAAAUGAUACCUUUAUAUAGGAUUGUUUGUUGAUAUAUGUAGCGUUAUUGGCAGUUAUGUUUGAUGGAAAUUUUAACACUACUCCGUCAAAUGAGUUACUAAAUGCUCUCUUUAAAUAUGAUACAUGCGAUUGAGCAGACUCCUGAAUGUUGAUAGCAAGUGGCAGUGCUACGCAUUAACGCGCAAGGGGACCCCACACUCCUAAUUUUUAUAAAUAGAAAUAUACUAAAUUUCGCGCCUGUUUUGAAGUUUUGAUUUGUUUCUAGUUCGAGAAGUAUUUUGAAUUUUUGAAACAGCUUACCGCCGCGCAGUAGUAGAUGUAGUGUUUGUAUAAUGUGGUAGUGGUGUGUUUAGUUAUCAUAUUUCAGAUGUAAUGUUUUUGCGACAGCGACCAGAUACAAAGUGUUCUAAGUUGAUGUUAAAUUGUUUAAUUGGUAACAUUUUUUUACUGCAGAUUGUGGUUGGUGGAAGAAACAAAUAUUUGAUCAAUGGACAUCUUGCUCAACCUAGUCGAGUUCAAAAUCUUUUUCACUCCGUGCAGCUAAAUGUCAACAAUCCACAUUUUCUUAUAAUGCAAGGGCGAAUCACCAAGGUCCUAAACAUGAAACCCCCUGAAAUAUUGUCUAUGCUUGAAGAAGCUGCUGGAACAAGGAUGUAUGAAACAAAAAAAGAGGCUGCAUUAAAAACCCUUGAAAAAAAACAAAAUAAGGUGGAUGACAUUGAUAAGCUUCUUGAUGUGGAAAUACUUCCAGCAUUAGAUAAGUUAAGGAAAGAACGGACACAGUAUAUGCAAUGGGCGAAUGGAAAUGCAGAAUUGGACCGUCUUAAAAGAUUUUGCAUUGCUUAUGAAUAUAUUCAAGCAGAAAAGAUCAGAGACAAUGCAAUUCAAGGCGUGGAAGUUAUCAAGACUAAGCUUUCUGAAAUUGAUGCCAAUACAGAACAAAUGAAAAGGGAAAUACAGGAGAUGGAGACUAAAGUGUCAGACCUUACUGCCGAAAAAGAAGCACGCAUGGGAGGGGAGAUCAAAUGCUUGUCUGACAAAGUUGAUGCUCUCUCACGUGAUCUUGUUAAAGAAACAUCUGUUAUGAAAAAUCAAGAAGAUAAUCUUAUGAUUGAGAAAGACAAUGUUUUAAAGGUAGAAGUGAUAUAGCAAGCCAACAUUAGAAUAUAUUCACUAAAAUAUAAACUUAUAAAAUAUUGCCAUACUUGUUUCUUAUUUUGAUGCCAGAUUGAUAGAAACAUAGAAGAACUAAAACAGUCUGCCAAAGAAAAAGCUUUAGCUGUACAAAGUGCUGAAGAUGGAGCUGCUGACUUGAAAGGAAGAGUUGGGGAGCUUUCAAAAAGUUUAGUAGAUCACGAAAAAGAGUACCAGGUAUUGUUUGGUUAUGUGUGCAUUUAUAUACGUGAACACACACACUAUAUUCACAUUUACACACAUUUGCUCUAUGUGUUUUUGCAUACAAGUGCUGAAAAACUAAUCUGCAUGCAUCUUAGGGAGUAGUAGCUGGUAAGAGCAGCGGAGAUGAGGAGAAAUGCCUUGAAGAUCAACUAGCUGAUGCCAAAGUUGCGGUUGGAAGAGCAGAAACCGAACUCAAACAGUUGCAAACAAAGAUAAGCCUUGGUGAGAAAGAGCUGAAGGCAAAAUCGAAACAGUUGUUGUCCAAGCGAGAAGAAGCUGUUGCUGUUGAGAAAGAACUAAUUGUCCGAACCAAAGAUGUGGAAGAUGUUAAAAGGGCUUUGGAAUCUGUCUCAUUUGAAGAAGGGAAGAUGGAAGCUUUACAAAAGGUUGCUUUUCUAUCGGCACUUUUCAUCUUUUACACAAAUAGACACAGUACACACAAUUUAUCUUGAUGAAUGAAUAUCCUCGGGACUGGAGAAUUUUAUUCAAUUAUCGGGCUUCAAGUACACUUUUAGGAUUAUUUCAAAUUAUUAUUAAUAUAUCGAGGUUCUGUUGUAUGUCGAUCUGCGUUUAUAAAAUUUUCCGAUUGUUCAGGAUCGCACGGCUGAGCUAGAUAUUGUGCAGAAGCUAAAAGAUGAAAUCCGAAUGCUUACUUCACGCUUAGGAAAUGUUGACUUCCAAUACCGUGACCCUGCAAGAAAUUUUGAUAGGUCCAAGGUGAAAGGCGUUGUCGCAAAGCUCAUUAAAGUGAAGGAUAGAUCCGCGAUGACUGCUUUAGAGGUCAGAUCUGCAUUAAAUUUCACAUAAUGUAUGUUACCUUUUUAGAACUGUGAUGCAGCCAAUCCAAUAUACUAAUAUAUAAUGAUUUGCAGGUUGCUGCUGGUGGGAAGUUGUUCAAUGUUGUAGUGGACACAGAAAACACAGGAAAACAACUUCUUCAAAAUGGUGAACUUCGAAGACGUGUAACAAUAAUUCCUUUGAACAAAAUUAAUAGCCAUACUGUACCCCCUAGGGUUCAAAAUGCUGCUGUUAGAUUGGUUAGUGUCUGGAGUAAUGCCAUGAUUUAUUGAACUGUGUUUAAGUGUAUAAAUGAUGACGAGUAAAUUGUUUUACUACAUUCAGGUCGGCAAGGAAAAUGCCGAGGUGGCACUUUUGUUGGUCGAAUAUGAUAAAGAACUGAAGGUUCUCUUUUUUAUUGCCUAAAUCUUGGGAUUGAAGUAAUUUUUUUUAACAUAUGUUAAUCAAAUUUGAUGAGAGCUAUCAAUGUUUCAGAGCGCAAUGGAAUACGUAUUCGGUUCAACUUUUAUUUGCAAGACCACUGAUGCUGCGAAAGAGGUAUANAAAGAUGAAAAUUUGAAUUUGUGAACUAGUAGAAUGAAGGCUGUAUCUUAGUUGAAUCGAGUAAUUUAUCGAUGUUGCUAUGUUUAUUUUGGAAGUUAAAUGCUAUUUAAGUCAUGUUAUAUUUAUUUAUAAAGUUGUCUUAUCUUUACUUAUUUUGAUUGUUUUGUGUUUGUGUGUGCAAGUUGCAAACCGGCUAGGUUUAAAGUACCAGAAAUGAUACCUUUAUAUAGGAUUGUUUGUUGAUAUAUGUAGCGUUAUUGGCAGUUAUGUUUGAUGGAAAUUUUAACACUACUCCGUCAAAUGAGUUACUAAAUGCUCUCUUUAAAUAUGAUACAUGCGAUUGAGCAGACUCCUGAAUGUUGAUAGCAAGUGGCAGUGCUACGCAUUAACGCGCAAGGGGACCCCACACUCCUAAUUUUUAUAAAUAGAAAUAUACUAAAUUUCGCGCCUGUUUUGAAGUUUUGAUUUGUUUCUAGUUCGAGAAGUAUUUUGAAUUUUUGAAACAGCUUACCGCCGCGCAGUAGUAGAUGUAGUGUUUGUAUAAUGUGGUAGUGGUGUGUUUAGUUAUCAUAUUUCAGAUGUAAUGUUUUUGCGACAGCGACCAGAUACAAAGUGUUCUAAGUUGAUGUUAAAUUGUUUAAUUGGUAACAUUUUUUUACUGCAGAUUGUGGUUGGUGGAAGAAACAAAUAUUUGAUCAAUGGACAUCUUGCUCAACCUAGUCGAGUUCAAAAUCUUUUUCACUCCGUGCAGCUAAAUGUCAACAAUCCACAUUUUCUUAUAAUGCAAGGGCGAAUCACCAAGGUCCUAAACAUGAAACCCCCUGAAAUAUUGUCUAUGCUUGAAGAAGCUGCUGGAACAAGGAUGUAUGAAACAAAAAAAGAGGCUGCAUUAAAAACCCUUGAAAAAAAACAAAAUAAGGUGGAUGACAUUGAUAAGCUUCUUGAUGUGGAAAUACUUCCAGCAUUAGAUAAGUUAAGGAAAGAACGGACACAGUAUAUGCAAUGGGCGAAUGGAAAUGCAGAAUUGGACCGUCUUAAAAGAUUUUGCAUUGCUUAUGAAUAUAUUCAAGCAGAAAAGAUCAGAGACAAUGCAAUUCAAGGCGUGGAAGUUAUCAAGACUAAGCUUUCUGAAAUUGAUGCCAAUACAGAACAAAUGAAAAGGGAAAUACAGGAGAUGGAGACUAAAGUGUCAGACCUUACUGCCGAAAAAGAAGCACGCAUGGGAGGGGAGAUCAAAUGCUUGUCUGACAAAGUUGAUGCUCUCUCACGUGAUCUUGUUAAAGAAACAUCUGUUAUGAAAAAUCAAGAAGAUAAUCUUAUGAUUGAGAAAGACAAUGUUUUAAAGGUA
rnacentral:lncRNA from 1 species